CCCUUCGGGGUACACGAGUGGCGAACGGGUGAGUAACACGUGGGUAAUCUGCCCUGCACAUCGGGAUAAGCCUGGGAAACUGGGUCUAAUACCGAAUAGGACCACAGAACACAUGUCCUGUGGUGGAAAGCUUUUGCGGUGUGGGAUGGGCCCGCGGCCUAUCAGCUUGUUGGUGGGGUGAUGGCCCACCAAGGCGACGACGGGUAGCCGGCCUGAGAGGGUGUCCGGCCACACUGGGACUGAGAUACGGCCCAGACUCCUACGGGAGGCAGCAGUGGGGAAUAUUGCACAAUGGGCGAAAGCCUGAUGCAGCGACGCCGCGUGGGGGAUGACGGCCUUCGGGUUGUAAACCUCUUUCACCAUCGACGAAGGUUCGGGUUUUCUCGGAUUGACGGUAGGUGGAGAAGAAGCACCGGCCAACUACGUGCCAGCAGCCGCGGUAAUACGUAGGGUGCGAGCGUUGUCCGGAAUUACUGGGCGUAAAGAGCUCGUAGGUGGUUUGUCGCGUUGUUCGUGAAAUCUCACGGCUUAACUGUGAGCGUGCGGGCGAUACGGGCAGACUUGAGUACUGCAGGGGAGACUGGAAUUCCUGGUGUAGCGGUGGAAUGCGCAGAUAUCAGGAGGAACACCGGUGGCGAAGGCGGGUCUCUGGGCAGUAACUGACGCUGAGGAGCGAAAGCGUGGGGAGCGAACAGGAUUAGAUACCCUGGUAGUCCACGCCGUAAACGGUGGGUACUAGGUGUGGGUUUCCUUCCUUGGGAUCCGUGCCGUAGCUAACGCAUUAAGUACCCCGCCUGGGGAGUACGGCCGCAAGGCUAAAACUCAAAGAAAUUGACGGGGGC
rnacentral:rRNA from 1 species